rnacentral:rRNA from 1 species
GACGAACGCUGGCGGCGUGCUUAACACAUGCAAGUCGAACGGAAAGGCCCUGCUUUUGUGGGGUGCUCGAGUGGCGAACGGGUGAGUAACACGUGAGUAACCUGCCCCUGACUUUGGGAUAACUCCAGGAAACUGGGGCUAAUACCGGAUAGGAGCUCCUGCUGCAUGGGGGGGGUUGGAAAGUGUCGGCCGUUGGGGCUGGACUGGCGGGUUAUCGGCUGGUUGGUGGGGUUGUGGCUGACCAGGGGUUCGACGGGUAGCCGGCCUGGGAGGGUGACCGGCCACAUUGGGACUGCGAUACGGCCCAGACUCCUACGGGAGGCAGAAGUCGGGAAUAUUGCAGAAUGGGCGGAAGCCUGAGGCAGCGACGCCGCGUGCGGGAUGACGGCCUUCGGGUUGUAAACCGCUUUCGCCUGUGACGAAGCGUGAGUGACGGUAAUGGGUAAAGAAGCACCGGCUAACUACGUG